CUACGGGCCGCACCAGUGGGGAAUAUUGCACAAUGGGCGCAAGCCUGAUGCAGCCAUGCCGCGUGUAUGAAGAAGGCCUUCGGGUUGUAAAGUACUUUCAGCGGGGAGGAAGGGAGUAAAGUUAAUACCUUUGCUCAUUGACGUUACCCGCAGAAGAAGCACCGGCUAACUCCGUGCCAGCAGCCGCGGUAAUACGGAGGGUGCAAGCGUUAAUCGGAAUUACUGGGCGUAAAGCGCACGCAGGCGGUUUGUUAAGUCAGAUGUGAAAUCCCCGGGCUCAACCUGGGAACUGCAUCUGAUACUGGCAAGCUUGAGUCCCGUAGAGGGGGGUAGAAUUCCAGGUGUAGCGGUGAAAUGCGUAGAGAUCUGGAGGGAUACCGGUGGCGAAGGCGGCCCCCUGGACGAAGACUGACGCUCAGGUGCGAAAGCGUGGGGAGCAAACAGGAUUAGAUACCCCAGUAGUC
rnacentral:rRNA from 1 species